AGCCCAGAGAAAUUUGGAUUAAUACCCCAUAAUAUAUUUGAUAAGGCAUCUUAUUUAAUAUUAAAAGCUUCGGCACCUUGAUGAUGGGUGUGCGGCUGAUUAGAUAGUUGGCGGGGUAACGGCCCACCAAGUCUACGAUCAGUAGCUGAUGUGAGAGCAUGAUCAGCCACACGGGCACUGAGACACGGGCCCGACUCCUACGGGAGGCAGCAGUAAGGAAUAUUGGACAAUGGACGAAAGUCUGAUCCAGCCAUGCCGCGUGAAGGAUUAAGGUCCUCUGGAUUGUAAACUUCUUUUAUGUGGGACGAAAAAAGGGCAUUCUUGUUCACUUGACGGUACCAUAUGAAUAAGCACCGGCUAACUCCGUG
rnacentral:rRNA from 1 species